UACAGAGGUGGCGAGCGUUGUUCGGAUUUACUGGGCGUAAAGGGCGCGUAGGCGGCCGUGUGUGUCGGGUGUGAAAUCCAUGGGCUCAACCCAUGAAGUGCGCCCGAAACUGCACGGCUCGAGUUCGGGAGGGGGGAUCGGAAUGCAGGGUGUAGCGGUGAAAUGCGUUGAUAUCCUGCAGAACACCGGUGGCGAAGGCGGAUCCCUGGAACGAGACUGACGCUGAGGCGCGAAAGCAGGGGGAG
rnacentral:rRNA from 1 species